UUUCUGGAGAGUAGUUCAGCGUGAGUUGGGCACACAGGUUGAGUUGAGCACAACAUUUCAUCCUCAGACGGAGUGGAGUUAAUGAUCAAAUGCCAAUUGCUAAAUUGAAAAUCUGCAUGCCUCCACAAAAUGGGAUUAAGAAACAUCCCUCCAGGUGUGUUGUAACAUUGAGAGACAACAUAUUAGCUUUUCUGCUUCGUUUUUGCUCCUCUUGCUUCUUCGCGACUCUCUUUUCUUCUCUUCCUCCUUGGCUGCUCCAUUUGUUAUUAUCCAUGAAGUGUUGUAUGUAGAUGUACCACACAAUUGAGAGUGUUGAAGUUCACAGAAGAAUCCGAAACCUCUUGGCAAGAAGAGAUCAGAUUCCGACAUAAUCGCCGUUUCAGGUGUAAUUUCAAAUCUCUCCUCUUUAUGCAAUUUGUCUGUUAUAACCCUCAAUUGUAGUUCUCACCUCUUUAUUCAUACAUGUUGCCACCUCUUUACGAAGAGCAUAUUGCAUCUGGCUUCCUUCUCUUACCUCUUUAUCUUACCUUAAACCUCUAUAGAUAAAUUACGUCUUUCUUCUCCAACUCAGAUCCUCUAUAAUUUUUUUCAAAUGGUUCAA